rnacentral:rRNA from 1 species
UACGGGGGGGGCAAGCGUUGUUCGGAAUUACUGGGCGUAAAGGGCUCGUAGGCGGCCAACUAAGUCGGAUGUGAAAUCCCCAGGCUUAACUUGGGAACUGCAUCCGAUACUGGAUGGCUUGAAUCCGGGAGAGGGAUGCGGAAUUCCAGGUGUAGCGGUGAAAUGCGUAGAGAUGUGGAGGAACACCGAUGGCGAAGGCAGCCCCCUGGGUCAAGAUUGACGCUCAUGCACGAAAGCGUGGGGAGCAAACAGG